UCGGGAAUUUUGGGCAAUGGGCGAAAGCCUGACCCAGCAACGCCGCGUGAAGGAUGAAGUAUUUCGGUAUGUAAACUUCGAAAGAAUAGGAAGAAUAAAUGACGGUACUAUUUAUAAGGUCCGGCUAACUACGUGCCAGCAGCCGCGGUAAUACGUAGGGACCAAGCGUUGUUCGGAUUUACUGGGCGUAAAGGGUGCGUAGGCGGCAUAUCAAGUCACUUGUGAAAUCUCCGGGCUUAACUCGGAACUGCCAAGUGAUACUGAUGUGCUAGAGUGCAGAAAGGGCAACUGGAAUUCUUGGUGUAGCGGUGAAAUGCGUAGAUAUCAAGAGGAACACCUGAGGCGAAGGCGAGUUGCUAGGCUGACACUGACGCUGAGGUACGAAAGCUAGGGGAGCGAACGGGAUUAGAUACCCGCGUAGUCCCUGAGCGGGCUGGCAAGGCGCAU
rnacentral:rRNA from 1 species